UGCACCUAAAAGCGUUUUCUUGCAAGCCUAUUAAAUGCUCUUGAAAAUCGUAGAUGUGUGCAAAAUCAAUUUUCACAAUAGCAAGUGAUAUUAGUUCUUUAUAACUUCAAUCCGUUUACGUUGUGAACAUCU
rnacentral:snoRNA from 1 species